ACAGAAGUACAAGCGAUCAAAGGACACAUCACAGUGGCUGCAGAAGUUUGAAAAGUUACACAGAGCAGGGGCAGUCAAAACAGUGGGAUAAUGCUUCUAUAUCAAGGUGUUAAGGUGAUUUUCUAAAGAUGUCUAGUCGGGUUGACAGAAGUGGAAGAUGGUCUAGUGGUACAAUGAUGUAUGAAUGAUACUGUUUAAUAAGUUGAACAUGUCGAAG
rnacentral:lncRNA from 1 species